GGCCGCGGGGACCCAGCCCGCGGGCAGCUCGGGCGCCGGACGGCGCGGGCAGGCAGCGGCGGGUGGAAAGGAGGCCGCACUGGGCAGGGCGCGGGCCGGGCGCGGGGCCGAUUAGCGCGGCGGCUGAGGAGGCGAGAACAGCGCGGGGCCCCGGGAAGAGGGCGCUGACGCGGGCGCCGCUGCUGCUGGGGCUUCCAGCAAUCCGGGGCCGGAGCCGGGGCGCGCUGCGCGGGGCUCCAGUUUCGCCAACCCCGGUGCUAUUUAAAGGUGUCAGGUGGCUCGGCAGUGGCUCCUGGCCCCGGGUCCUGGCGGCCGCAGUUGGAAGAGCCGAGGCGAGGGCGCCGAUCCCGGACUGCGAGGGAGGCGGAGAGACGGGGCAAUUGACUAUUGCUAACAAGUUAGCCUUGAUCGGGGUGUAAUCAAUUAUCUGCAGCGGCACUUCUUUCUCUUUCUCUCUCCUUUCUCCCUUUCUCCUCUCUUCUUUCUCUCUGUUCUCUCCUCCUGUUCUCGCUCUCCCUCCCUCCCUCUCUCUUCUCUCUUCUCUGCUCCCCCCUUCUCUCUCCUUCUCUCCCUCUCCCUCGCCCUCUCUUUCACUCUCUGUCUGUCCAAUGCAGGCGGCUGUAAGUUGGGAAGCUCAUUAAUUAGCGGGCCGAGGGUAGGAGGAGCCGGCUGGAAUUAGCCUGCCUAAUGCGCCUGUCAGUCCGGGCGCUGCGCCGCGCUCGGCCCGAGCUGUUUGUAAAUUACAUUAGCUGCUCCUUUAUUGCACCCGAACCUCGGGCGACUGAAAAGCCACCGCCCCCACCCCAAACUGCGAGCCGCGCUCCUGGCGCACCCGCCUCCCGCCGGCCUAGCUGCAAUGACCGCACCGGCCCGAAGGUCUCGGUCUCUCCGACCCGGGAUGUGGAGCCCGAAAGAGUGGUGGGAACCCCAGCCCGGGAGGGACGCGGCCGCCGCUCGGGCCAGCCGAUGGGGUGCCAGGCAUUAGAAACCUUCCCUCCAAUCCUCACCAUGUCUCCAUUUUGCCAAAGAAGAAACUGAGGUUAAGGUCGCGAUGCUCUGGCCAGCAUCACAGGUGGGAUUCGAACGCAGAUGGGGUUUGGAGCGGCUCUUGUGUUUAAGCCACACAGUCUGACGUUAGACGGGUGAAUCCAGCCCUCGCAGGGCCUGGAGUGACCUAAGCCGAGAGGAGCUGGGCUGAAUCUCCAGGCGUUCCUUUCUUUCUGCCCUAGGAAAGCUUUGAAGUUCUUAUUUUCAGGUAAACGAUUUUGGCAGUGCCCGGAGAAGGAUAGAAGUAAGACCUAAAGAGGAACUUUCCGCAUGUUAUGGGAGAGCCCCUGGGGCGAGGAGGCCAGGGCAGCCUUCCCCAGGCCAAGGGAGCAGCCAUCGCUCUUGGAUCUGUUUUUCCUCAAGCGUCUGUCCUGUGGGGCCUAGUCCCCAAGCGGCAGUCCUGGACCUAACGGGAGAAGGGGCUGGGGGAAGAGGGCGCACCCCCAGCCCGGGACCCACAGCAGCCCUAGCCAGUCCCCCACUCUCUCCCUCUCUAGGGGCCUCUCUCUGAGAU
rnacentral:lncRNA from 1 species